rnacentral:lncRNA from 1 species
AGAUAAUUAUAAGCGAGUUCUAUAACAUCUUCUUUAUAAUACGAAUAUACGAAUAUCGCUUAGCCUACGUGGCAUUCUUAAAAUCACGCCAUUUCAAAAUUUUGCAGCGUCACCAUUCUUCAAGCCCUUCAAUUCACAUUCACAGUUUUCUUCACCGUUUCCUUUAAUCAUGCCUUAAUCACAUAUCUAUUAUGCUCUAAUCAACAUUCCAUGGACUAUCAACGGCCUCUGAAUCAUCUCCUUCCUCCAUGGUUUAUGUUCACGAUGAAAUCUUCUUUAUUUGCCUCUCAAUUUUCCUGCGUUAUCUCCAUUGAUUAUGCCCUAAUCAGGAAACUAUCAUUGGCUGAUGCUCAAUUCUCCGACCCGACCAUAGCACCUGGCACAGCCGCCAAUGGCUGCCCCGCCGCAGGCGAAAAAUCGCCAUCGCCGCUGAUGCCCAACUUCUCCGAUCGCCCACCCUCUCCGACCCGACCAUGGCACCUGGCACAGCCGCCAAUGGCUGCCCCGCCGUAGGCGAAAAAUCGCCAUCGCCGCCGAUGCCCAACUUCUCCGAUCGCCCACCCCUUGCCUCUAUCUCACUCGGUUGUCGGGCUAGAAAUCGCCAUCACCGCCGAUGCCCAACUUCUCCGAUCUCCUCCCAUUUUCACACUCGAGUGGCGCCGAGAAGAAGAAACUCUUCGCCUCCAUCAUCAGCUCCUAUCUCCGUUGGUAAAUGAAAUUAUGAAAUUCCUUAGCUGAUUUGCAACCCAUUUUUUCAUACUUCAGUUAUAGAUUUGUAUUGAUUCUUACAUUCUUGAUUCGCAGGAAAUUGUGAAGUGAUAGUGCAAGCGAAGAAUUUCACUUCCGAAUCAAAUGGUGAUAGUUUUCAAAUCUCUAUUUCCAAAACUGCCAAAAUCAGUAUUUCAGGUAUCCAUGUCCCUCUGACGAGGUUCGGAAUAAUAUUGUUAUUUGUUUUUAUUUCUUAAUUAAUUAAUUUUUGGUGGCAGUGAUCGGAAAAGCGAAUGAACACGACAAUGGUGGAGGCGGAGGACAUGAGAAAUCUGGUAUUUGUUUUAGUUCCAUAUGGGCUUUUCUUUUCGAAUAUUUGAUUUAGAUUAGUUUAACAUUGCCAUACACGUGAAGCAUAUUAUUUUCUUGAUUGGUUAUAUAGGUUUAAGCUUUAUUGAAUUGUUAGUGGUGUAAAUCCAAGAUAAUCCGGAGAGGGAGCCUGAAUGAGCUUUCAUCUUUUGCUGAGAAAUAAGAAAGUUGCAUACCUGAGGAUUUAGACCUUGCAUCUGAUUUAUGAUUCCAUCCUGUACAUAAAAGACUGAAUAUUAGUAUCUCAAAUUACUUUCGAAAGUACAAGGAAAAAAAUGGUCAAGACUAUGGAAGUUUAGGGAAAUGGGAACUGGCAGUUUGCAUGCUACUUGGUAAAACCGGGGUAUAUCAGAGGUGGUACAUAUCAUGGCGUAAAGAAAAACUAAAAAAAUUAGGAUAAAUAUGAGCUUGAAUGAAAAAGAUAGCAGACCUCUAAUAUCCCUGGCUUUAUCUUUUGAUUAUAUAUAGUUAUGUUAUAGAUGACUUUUUCAUUAUUUCUUUUUCUUUCUCUGUACCUAUUUAACUACACUCUCUAAUUAUUCUACGCAAUUGCUCUCUUUCUCUAUGUGUCUGCCAAAUCAGCGUUUCUUAGUGCUACUAUAGAUUUAGUUCAGCUAAGAUUUUCAUUAGUUACUACAGUUUUUGAAUGUUGAGUAGCAUAUUUUAUAAGAAAAUAACAAGACUUUAUCAAAAUUGAAAUAUAUUUUUGCAUGCUGUCAUCUUCAGGUUCUGGAGUUGGUCCAGAAGUUGGGGAAAAUACUUACUCUGCAGUGGCUAUAGGAAUAAAUAUAUGGGUGGCCAACGAUUAUGUACCUAUGGUUGAACCAAUACUUCACUUAUUUAUUAGAAUGUUCUUUAUAUUGAGAUGCAUUACUUAUUAUUUGUUAUUUUGCUGAUUUAACCAAUGCUUUCAAUAAAUUUAGAUACGCUAUGCAAUAGCCCAAAGACCCGUUUUUAGCUUCAGUUUGAAGGGCUAAAUGAAAGGGACAUUCUAUGAAAGGGAUCCACACUCGCCUUAUCUAAUCAAUGCCUUUCAGCUGAUUGGAAUGUCCUCGUGCCUCGAUCUUUCUGGCUUCUUUGAGAAAGAGGUAAUUAAGGAAGCUCGAGUCAUGCAUGUUGGCAUAAGUAACGAUUCUUAUACCUAAAAUAUGUACAUACUGCCAGUUUGUUUCUGAGAGGAAUAUCAGGUUUACAUCAAAUCACUGUCCAAAAGAAUUGCUGGAGAGAAUUGAACAUACAGUUGUAGAAAUGGGAUUUCAUGCCCAUAAGAAAAACGGAAAGGUUGGUUUCAUGCCUUAUACACUUAAUCCUCAGAGAGUGUUUAUCCUAUUCCUAUGGAAUCCUUUCUAACAGUGUGUCUUAAAUAUGUAUAGUUGAAAGUCACGCUAUAGCCAAAGAUCAGAAAGCACCAAAAAUUCUCUCAGUAGCUGCAGAAGUGAGUGAGAGUGAAUGUGGAAGGAGAUGCUGGUAUAGCUAGCUUCCCAUGGUCUCUUUAUUUUGUUACUUAGGCUCUUCUUAUUUUAGUUGGUGAUUAGAGACGAUGUCAUUGUGUGUAUGUGGCAUAAUUCUAUUGUUACUAAUAUGAUAGGCGCGAACAUGCGAGGGCUGUGGAGAUUCUUACAAUUGUCUUUGAAUAACCCAGAAUGACAACACAUGGAUUCUCUUAGAUGCGUGAGUAUUGCUCAUUUGUAUUCCUAAAAAUGUAUGUUUUGAGAAAACAGUAUAGUAUGCAUCGAAUAUCUAUUAUCUAUUUUACAACUAUCAAUAUGAAUUUUUUGUAUCAAGAACUGUUUCAGCUAUGGUGCUGGCUUGCUCGGUUCUUUGGCAUCCAUGUGAAUGCUUGGCAGUAUUGAUUCCAUGGCCGAUGGAGCAAGAGGGGUGAUCAAGUAUGUUUUCCAUCAAUUUUUCUUUUUCUUUGAUCAUUAAAUUUUCUUAGAUAGUGGCCUACAUAAUGUGUGUGUUAAGUUGUCAUUGUAGUUGCUUGUGCAUUUUUUGCUCCUUUUGUUUUUGUUCGAUUCAGAACUUCUCAUUGCACGGGAGUAAUGGAGCAGCCAAGGCUGUUGGUCACAUAUUACAAGCUUUAGCAUGUCUGCCGAUUUUAUUGUCCUCACUCUUAAGAUGAAAAGUUAUAUUCAGAACAACUUAUGAAUAGUUUGUAAGUUGCCAUACUCUACAUUAUACUAAAAUUGAUAUUUUUUCAGAUUUGAUUGUGCUUAAUAAUAUGAAUUGGCUGUGUUUAUCUGGGUUAUGGGCUUCUUACUAAGAAUUUGUAUGUGUUGGAUCAAUUAUGUGCAUAAUAAUUUAAGCCUUGCAGGGAUUCGAGUUCAAAGCCUUAAAGAAGGUCAAAUCACAAUGGAUAUUGACUUAUGCUGGGGUGGUCAUCCUACCAAAACAGAUCUGUAUUUUGCAUCAAGUUUAGCACAUCUGAUUCCUGCAACAUCCUACUCUUCUCAUCUCUCUCAACUACUCUUGUACCUUUCAUGCCAGUUGGAGAUCCCAAAGCAGUUAUUUCAUCCAAAUGUAUUCAAUGGCUGGAUAAUUCUUUUCUUGAAUAUAUUGGAGAGGCUUGUCCCUGUAGAAGGACAACCUGAAGAUCCCGAGCUAUGA